UAGAGUUUGAUCCUGGNUCAGGAUGAACGCUAGCGACAGGCUUAACACAUGCAANUCGAGGGGCAGCGGGGGUAGCAAUACCCGCCGGCGACCGGCGCACGGGUGAGUAACGCGUAUGCAACUUACCUAUCAGAGGGGGAUAACCCGGCGAAAGUCGGACUAAUACCGCAUGAAGCAGGGGCCCCGCAUGGGGAUAUUUGCUAAAGAUUCAUCGCUGAUAGAUAGGCAUGCGUUCCAUUAGGCAGUNGGCGGGGUAACGGCCCACCAAACCGACGAUGGAUAGGGGUUCUGAGAGGAAGGUCCCCCACAUUGGUACUGAGACACGGACCAAACUCCUACGGGAGGCAGCAGUGAGGAAUAUUGGUCAAUGGGCGUAAGCCUGAACCAGCCAAGUCGCGUGAGGAAUGAAGGUUCUAUGGAUCGUAAACCUCUUUUAUAAGGGAAUAAAGUGUGGGACGUGUCCUAUUUUGUAUGUACCUUAUGAAUAAGGAUCGGCUAACUCCGUGCCAGCAGCCGCGGUAAUACGGAGGAUCCGAGCGUUAUCCGGAUUUAUUGGGUUUAAAGGGUGCGUAGGCGGCCUUUUAAGUCAGCGGUGAAAGUCUGUGGCUCAACCAUAGAAUUGCCGUUGAAACUGGGGGGCUUGAGUAUGUUUGAGGCAGGCGGAAUGCGUGGUGUAGCGGUGAAAUGCUUAGAUAUCACGCAGAACCCCGAUUGCGAAGGCAGCCUGCCAAGCCAUUACUGACGCUGAUGCACGAAAGCGUGGGGAUCAAACAGGAUUAGAUACCCUGGUAGUCCACGCAGUAAACGAUGAUCACUAGCUGUUUGCGAUACACUGUAAGCGGCACAGCGAAAGCGUUAAGUGAUCCACCUGGGGAGUACGCCGGCAACGGUGAAACUCAAAGGAAUUGACGGGGGCCCGCACAAGCGGAGGAACAUGUGGUUUAAUUC
rnacentral:rRNA from 1 species